rnacentral:rRNA from 1 species
UACUCCUACGGGAGGCAGCAGUGGGGAAUAUUGGACAAUGGGCGAAAGCCUGAUCCAGCCAUGCCGCGUGUGUGAAGAAGGUCUUCGGAUUGUAAAGCACUUUAAGUUGGGAGGAAGGGCAGUAAGUUAAUACCUUGCUGUUUUGACGUUACCAACAGAAUAAGCACCGGCUAACUUCGUGCCAGCAGCCGCGGUAAUACGAAGGGUGCAAGCGUUAAUCGGAAUUACUGGGCGUAAAGCGCGCGUAGGUGGUUCAGCAAGUUGGAUGUGAAAUCCCCGGGCUCAACCUGGGAACUGCAUCCAAAACUACUGAGCUAGAGUACGGUAGAGGGUGGUGGAAUUUCCUGUGUAGCGGUGAAAUGCGUAGAUAUAGGAAGGAACACCAGUGGCGAAGGCGACCACCUGGACUGAUACUGACACUGAGGUGCGAAAGCGUGGGGAGCAGACAGGAUUAGAUACCCUGGUAGUCCACGCCGUAAACGAUGUCGACUAGCCGUUGGGAUCCUUGAGAUCUUAGUGGCGCAGCUAACGCGAUAAGUCGACCGCCUGGGGAGUACGGCCGCAAGGUUAAAACUCAAAUGAAUUGACGGA